UGAUACAUUUUCCGAGUUGGCAAUAAAU
rnacentral:sRNA from 1 species